GGGAGGGGAAUAGGGUGGACAGACACCGCUAGCCAACAGAGGGGGUGGCGUUUGAUUCGGUAAAAACCGAGAUUGAACGAACGGACUGUGUAACCGACGAAACUGCCCCUUUAAAUCAGGAAUACAGCGCAUUCGGAGGAGGUGAAGGUUUACAGCUGUCCAUCUGACCUGAGGUCACAACCACUCCUGUCCAUCUGACCUGAGGUCACAACCACUCCUGUCCAUCUGACCUGAGGUCACAACCACUCCUGUCCAUCUGACCUGAGGUCACAACCCCUCCUGUCCAUCUGACCUGAGGUCACAACCCCUCCUGUCCAUCUGACCUGAGGUCACAACCCCUCCUGUCCAUCUGACCUGAGGUCACAACCACUCCU